rnacentral:lncRNA from 1 species
GAUUCUCUUUGAUAUAUUUGUUCUUUUGGUUCACAAAUCUUUAUAGUAGCUUCAGUAUAACCUUAAUAAAGAAAACAGUUACAUGAGUAUAUGUAAUAGAUCCAUGUUGUGUCAGUGAUAUCGAUACUGUGCCAAUAUACAAAUUAAGCUCACAACACAAGGAAAGAAUAAGGGAUGAAAUCCAUUUCAAUGACUUUAGGUAAAUAACACUUUUUCACAUAAACAAAAUAUAAGUAUGCCAAUAGUGGUUCAAAGAAUAAGAAAUUGACCUGCCAUGACAAUGAUUAGAAAAUAUUUGUGAAAGAUGGAAUGAUUCUGACUUAGGUUUACCUUGUCAGCUCCAGCAGCCAGUAACCAUCAAGCUCUUUAGUGUUAUAAAAAACUCUAUAGAUAAAGAAAAUAUUAAUAGAUCUAUCUCAUGAUAAAUUUUGAGUGUGACCAAAAAAAUAAAGGAAUGAAAAGUUAAAGACCUUAUUGUUACUAGUAUAGUUUGUGAUGGAUCUGCUAAGUGUGCAACCAAGUGAGGUAUCAUGGGUUCAGUAAGUGGGAUGUAGGUUGGACAGGGAAAGACCGUGGAAAAUUGUAUUCACAAGCCUGCUUGGAGGAGUCAUUGCGGUUGAGAUCAGUGUGCCAUCGAUGAACAAAUCCUCACUGACAAAGAAAGAAGAAUGUGGUUGAUAUUUAUGAAGUAUCAGCAUGAUCCUCGUCAGCAAGAGAGAGGACAUGGGAAUGAUUUAAAAAAAAAAUUGAAAUGCUGAUCAGAUGAAAAAUAUGCACAGAUGACAGAUCCAUAUGGUGUGUGAAAUGUGUUGAGGAAGUGUUUGCUUUAGUGAGGGAGGUGGCCAAAAGGAAGUUUCUGUGAGUUGAAGAGAUGC